ACGAAAAUAAAAAAAAUAAAUAAAAAAUCAACACAAACACAGCUUCACACAAACACGAACACUUUCCAUCGUCGUCUCUGUCUCCGGUCAACAUCGUCGUCUCUGUCUUCGGUCACCAUAGAAGGGACCCAAGCCCUAAAUGAUAACACACGGCUCAUAAAUAAACCCUAAAUCCAGAGACAACAAUUCCUAUAAAGAAGCGAUCCUUUGUCUGAUCGAUUGAUUUACUUGAGAAUCCGGCAAUUGACGAUGUUGUUGUGUUAUCGGUUGUGCUGCAAGAGGUCAAGAACAAGAAUCUUUUGGUUUAUAACAAAGUUAGAGCCCUGUGCAGCAAUUCUUCGAGGAAGUUCUUUAUUUUCGUUAACGAACAUCACAGGGAUACAUAUGUGAAGGCAAUGGUUGGUGAAAGUCUAAAUGAUCGGAACGAUAGAGCAAUUCGAGUGGCAACUCAGUGGUAUCAUAAUCAUCUUGGUGGUGCAACACGGGUCUUAUUAAUCACAAAUGACAGAGAAAAUAAGAGGAAAGCCACUGAAGAGGGAAUUUCUGCAGAGACAGAUUUUGAAAGAUGAAGCUACAAGGGAGCAGUAUAAUUAUGCAAUUGUGCAUCCAGAUGAGUUUCAACAUGAUAAGAGGAAUAGAGAGGCUUGAUCGGUGGGAUCACGGGAGAAAUGGAGAGGUGCAGAGAUAGAGAGAAAAAGAAUGAGACAAGCAUGGAAGGUGUCUACACAAUUAAUGAGGUGGUAUUCCAUGCAUUUGAGGGAACAAUAAUGAGACAAGCAUGGAAGUUUCACAUUGAUUGCAAUCUGGCUCCCCUUUUGGAUUCGGAUCUUAGAUUUUUUUUUGAAAUUUUGAUAUGUGAAUAUGAUUAGUUGUGUAAUAUUGGAUUUGGAUAUUAGCAUUUUGAUAUGUGCUGGAAUUAUCAUUUUAAUUUUGGAUGAUUUGCACAUUUUAAUAUCUAAAUUCUUAAUGGAAUGUGUUUUAUAUUC